UACGAAGGGGGCGAGCGUUGUUCGGAAUUACUGGGCGUAAAGGGCGCGCAGGCGGUCCUUCAAGUCAGAUGUGAAAGCCCCGGGCUCAACCUGGGAACAGCAUUUGAGACUGGAGGACUUGAGGACGGGAGAGGAGAGUGGAAUUCCCAGUGUAGAGGUGAAAUUCGUAGAUAUUGGGAAGAACACCAAUGGCGAAGGCGGGUCUCUGGACAGUUCCUGACACUGAGGCACGAAGGCUAGGGGAGCAAACGGG
rnacentral:rRNA from 1 species